UACGUAGGGGGCAAGCGUUGUCCGGAUUUAUUGGGCGUAAAGAGCGUGUAGGCGGCCAUGUAGGUCCGUUGUGAAAACUCGAGGCUCAACCUCGAGACGCCGAUGGAAACCAUGUGGCUAGAGUCCGGAAGAGGAGAGUGGAAUUCCUGGUGUAGCGGUGAAAUGCGCAGAUAUCAGGAAGAACACCCGUGGCGAAGGCGGCUCUCUGGGACGGUACUGACGCUGAGACGCGAAGCGUGGGAGCAACAGG
rnacentral:rRNA from 1 species